AGAGUUUGAUCCUGGCUCAGGAUGAACGCUAGCUACAGGCUUAACACAUGCAAGUCGAGGGGAAACGAUAUUGGAAGCUUGCUUCCGAUAGGCGUCGACCGGCGCACGGGUGAGUAACGCGUAUCCAACCUGCCCAUCACUUGGGGAUAACCUUGCGAAAGUAAGACUAAUACCCAAUGACGUCUCUAGAAGACAUCUGAAGGAGAUUAAAGAUUUAUCGGUGAUGGAUGGGGAUGCGUCUGAUUAGCUUGUUGGCGGGGUAACGGCCCACCAAGGCAACGAUCAGUAGGGGUUCUGAGAGGAAGGUCCCCCACAUUGGAACUGAGACACGGUCCAAACUCCUACGGGAGGCAGCAGUGAGGAAUAUUGGUCAAUGGGCGAGAGCCUGAACCAGCCAAGUAGCGUGCAGGAAGACGGCCCUAUGGGUUGUAAACUGCUUUUAUAAGGGAAUAAAGUGAGUCUCGUGAGACUUUUUGCAUGUACCUUAUGAAUAAGGACCGGCUAAUUCCGUGCCAGCAGCCGCGGUAAUACGGAAGGUCCGGGCGUUAUCCGGAUUUAUUGGGUUUAAAGGGAGCGUAGGCCGGAGAUUAAGCGUGUUGUGAAAUGUAGACGCUCAACGUCUGCACUGCAGCGCGAACUGGUUUCCUUGAGUACGCACAAAGUGGGCGGAAUUCGUGGUGUAGCGGUGAAAUGCUUAGAUAUCACGAAGAACUCCGAUUGCGAAGGCAGCUCACUGGAGCGCAACUGACGCUGAAGCUCGAAAGUGCGGGUAUCGAACAGGAUUAGAUACCCUGGUAGUCCGCACGGUAAACGAUGGAUGCCCGCUGUUGGUCUGAACAGGUCAGCGGCCAAGCGAAAGCAUUAAGCAUCCCACCUGGGGAGUACGCCGGCAACGGUGAAACUCAAAGGAAUUGACGGGGGCCCGCACAAGCGGAGGAACAUGUGGUUUAAUUCGAUGAUACGCGAGGAACCUUACCCGGGCUUGAAUUGCAGAGGAAGGAUUUGGAGACAAUGACGCCCUUCGGGGUCUCUGUGAAGGUGCUGCAUGGUUGUCGUCAGCUCGUGCCGCGAGAUGUUGGGUUAAGUCCCGCAACGAGCGCAACCCCUAUCUUAUGUUACCAGCACGUUAUGGUGGGGACUCAUGAGAGACCGCCGCGGACAACGCGGAGGAAGGUGGGGAUGACGUCAAGUCAUCAUGCCCCUUAUGACCUGGGCUACACACGUACUACAAUGGGUGUCAACAAAGAAAAGCGAAACCGCGAGGUGGAGCGAACCUCAAAAACACACCCCCAGUUCAGAUUGCAGGCUGCAACCCGCCUGCAUGAAGUAGGAAUCGCUAGUAAUCGCGGGUCAGCAUACCGCGGUGAAUACGUUCCCGGGCCUUGUACACACCGCCCGUCACACCAUGAGAGUCGGAAACACCCGAAGCCGGUGAGGUAACCGCAAGGAGCCAGCCGUCGAAGGUGGAGCUGAUGAUUGGAGUGAAGUCGUAACAAGGUA
rnacentral:rRNA from 1 species